rnacentral:rRNA from 1 species
GACGAACGCUGGCGGCGUGCCUAACACAUGCAAGUCGAACGGAAAGGCCCUGCUUUUGUGCGGUGCUCGAGUGGCGAACGGGGGAGUAACACGUGAGUAACGUGCCCUUGACUUUGGGAUAACUUCAGGAAACUGGGGCUAAUACAGGAUAGGAGCUCCUGCUGCAUGGUGGGGGUUGGAAAGUUUCGGCGGUUGGGGAUGGACGGGCGGCUUAUCAGCUUGUUGGUGGGGUAGUGGCUUGCCAAGGAUUUGGGGGGUCGGCGGCCUGAGAGGGUGACCGGCCACAUUAGGACGGGGGUGCGGCCCAGACGCCUACGGGAGGCAACAGUGGGGAAUAUUGCACAAUGGGCGGAAGCCUGGUGCAGCAACGCCGCGUGCGGGAUGACGGCCUUCUGGUUGUAAACCGCUUUCGCCUGUGACGAAGCGUGAGUGACGGUAAUGGGUAAAGAAGCACCGGCUAACUACGUG